rnacentral:misc_RNA from 1 species
AAGAUCUAAGAUCAGCUAUUUCACAUAAGCACUGGCAGACCACUGGAAGGAUUACCAAGCGAUUGGCAGAGUGAUUUUACAGGUGCUAAUUGUUGAAACAGAAUGAUUUUAUUGCUCGAUCUAAUCCGUGGAAUAAAGUUUUAUCAUCAACCGGACCCCUCCACAGCUCCUUCGAUGCACCGCCAUUAAUUGCAGAGAAGGGUCCAAGGGGAACGCAAGAUGACAACGGCGAAUCCAAGCAAAGAAAAAGCUGACGGGUAGAUGAAAGCAUACCUCUGGUACACCCUAAUCUUGUCAGGCGUCAAAACCCGCUGUUGUUGUUCCAAGUUGGAGAGAGA